GACGAACGCUGGCGGCGUGCUUAACACAUGCAAGUCGAACGGUGAAGCGAGUGCUUGCACUCGUGGAUCAGUGGCGAACGGGUGAGUAACACGUGAGUAACCUGCCCAUCACUCUGGGAUAAGCACUGGAAACGGUGUCUAAUACUGGAUACGACCAACCCUUGCAUGGGGUGUUGGUGGAAAGAUUUAUCGGUGAUGGAUGGACUCGCGGCCUAUCAGCUUGUUGGCGGGGUAAUGGCCCACCAAGGCGACGACGGGUAGCCGGCCUGAGAGGGUGACCGGCCACACUGGGACUGAGACACGGCCCAGACUCCUACGGGAGGCAGCAGUGGGGAAUAUUGCACAAUGGGCGAAAGCCUGAUGCAGCGACGCCGCGUGAGGGAUGACGGCCUUCGGGUUGUAAACCUCUUUCAGCAGGGAAGAAGCGAAAGCGACGGUACCUGCAGAAGAAGCACCGGCUAACUACGUG
rnacentral:rRNA from 1 species